rnacentral:snRNA from 1 species
GCUUAUCGCCUAGUGCACAUUAUAAAAUUGGAACGAUACAGAGAAGAUUAGCAUGGCCCCUAGGUUGUGGAUGUGUAAGUGAAUCUUCGGAUAAACGGUAAUUGUUA